rnacentral:lncRNA from 1 species
AUGUGAUGAAAGAAGUAUAUUUUAAAUUUUAAAAUAUUAUUUUUAUUAAUUUUUUUAUGGAGUUAUUUCUAUUAUUUGAUUAUUUUUUCUAGUUUUUUGCUUCUUCCUUUUUUUCUUAAAGGUUACGUGAGUUUGUGACUAAAAUGUGUGGUGAUGAGAAAAGCAGUCGUGGCAAAAGAAAAUAGGAGUUUCCUCACAGGAUCAUAUCUCUCUUUCUCUCUCCCCAAAGAGACGGUGACGUUAGAGCUUCGCAUAGUCAUCAGGGAGAAAAAUAGGAGUGAGAGUGGGACCCGCGAGAUGAAAAGAGCCCGAGAGAAAGGAAAAUCGUUUGAUCUUGUUCUGUCAAAACGUGGGACCAAACGGAGGAGAUUGACGCGGUCCAAAAAUUCACCGCCGGUAUUGGCUCGCCACAUCUCUCUCUGCGACUCCCGAAGAAGGGUUACCUCAGUCAAUGGGAAUAUUGGGCCCCACUACUAGUGGGACCUGCCUAUGAUCCGAAGAGUUUUUUUGACUUUCGACACGUAGGAUACACGGGUUCGAACCAGAUUAUCGGGUUGACCCCAUUGGAUCAUGUGGACCGAAUCUCUUGGCUUUGUGGUUUUACUGUCUACACCGCUGAGCUCCUUGACUUCACAAUAACUAUAUUUUUAUUUUGGGUUAAUGAAAAUAAAAAAAUAAAACAAAAAAUUUCCACUUCUAACAUAUUAGAAAAUAAAUAAAAUUUUGUCAAAAUGAGAAGAUUUCAUACAGAUUCAAUUUUUUUACCAUUUAUUUGAAAUUAAUAAUUUUCUAAAAAUUCAAUUCAAUUAUUUUUUUUUUAUUCAUCUUCUUAUUUAGAUUAAAAGAUUUCAAUCUUUCUCAACUUAAAAGAAUUUUAUUUUAAAAUAAAUUGAAAUAUUGUAUGAAUUUAAAAAAAU